UGUAUGUUUGGCAAACAAUUGGGAAUCAAUCAAUUUUUUCAUCUCCAUCGUUUCCAUCGUUUCAUCUUCAAUUGGGAAUCGAUCAAUCUUUUCAUCUCCAUCUUCUCACGAUCAAUUUUUCAGAAAAGAGGGUAAAAUCAAGUUCAGUACUUCUUCAAUCCACCGAAUCUUGAAGAGAAAACAAAAAAUCGUAAAAUGAGAGAAGCUCCUAUUAGUCGAAUCAAUUGGGUUUGUCUAUGGAGAUGAUGGUGCCAUCAAUUGGAUGAUUCAGUUUUCACCCAUGACUUUAGCGACCCAUUUUAUCUUACCAAUUGGAUUGAUCUGUGGUAGGGACGUUCUCGGGAGCCAUUGGAGAAGGUUUGAAAGAAGAAAGGAGAAAGUGAAGAAGUUAAGGAUUCAAAAUAAAUCGGAGUAUGAAUUAGGAAUGAAAGACAUAACUAAAAACGCAGUUUGGUAAGAUUUUAAAAUAGUCCUAGAAGAUUGAUAUUUGUCUAAUUAUUUUUAUUUAAAUAUCGUUUUUAAUCAAUUGAAUAGAUUGUAGUUUCUCUCUUUAAUGAUAUCUUAUAGAUAAUGUAAUGUAGACUUAACGGGUAGUUUUCUAUCAAUUCCUACCCGAAUAUCCAAUUGUGAAUUGUCGGGUAAUUUUUAAUUUUAAAUCCGAUUCAAUAGGUUUAAAAGUCACCUCUAACCUUAAUGAUAUGUUUUAAGACAAAUUUCGACACGGACAUUUUCGGGCGAAAUGCAAGUUGUACUUCUCUUUUACUAAUAUAGGGAUGUAGCUAAUCUAACUCUCAUUUGACAAUGACAACACUUAAUCAUAAAAUUACCCUAUAAAAAAUA